GCCAGGCAGGGGACAGGUGGGUGCCGGUCAAGAAAGUCAUCCCAGAAGAACCAUAUUUGAACUAAAUCCCAACACCACAAAAGAAUCAGCAAGGUGAAGAGAGAAGAGGAGGCAACCUGACUCCAGUGGGAAUCUAACCAUCCAUCCAACCAUCCAUCCAGCCAGCCAGCCAUCCAUCCAUCCAUCACUGAGUGCCCAGGACACUCUCCGACACCGAACAAGACCUACAGACCACCUGCCCUCAGGAGUUAACACUCUAGUGGGAGAACACAGACGACCAACAGCCUCAAGAACAAAACAGGGGUGUGUCGGUGGGUCAGAGCUGUGAAGAAGGGACAGCUGCUUGAAGGGACAGUCUCCCCCAGUCCAGGGUUCCCAGGAACCAGGGGACCAGCCAACAACAUCACCCCUAUUUCCCACUGCCCUGUUCGCU